rnacentral:rRNA from 1 species
UACAGAGGGUGCAAGCGUUGUUCGGAAUCAUUGGGCGUAAAGGGCGUGUAGGCGGUCUGUUAAGUCAUGUGUGAAAUCCCUCGGCUCAACCGGGGAACGACGCAUGAAACUGACAAGCUAGAGUACCAAAGAGGGGGGUGGAAUUCCCGGUGUAGCGGUGAAAUUCGUAGAUAUCGGGAGGAACACCAGUGGCGAAGGCGGAGACCUGGGCCGAUACUGACGCUGAGAUGCGAAAGCGUGGGGAGCAAACAGG